UACGUAGGGUGCGAGCGUUAAUCGGAAUUACUGGGCGUAAAGCGUGCGCAGGCGGUUAUGCAAGACAGAUGUGAAAUCCCCGGGCUCAACCUGGGAACUGCAUUUGUGACUGCAUGGCUGGAGUGCGGCAGAGGGGGAUGGAAUUCCGCGUGUAGCAGUGAAAUGCGUAGAUAUGCGGAGGAACACCGAUGGCGAAGGCAAUCCCCUGGGCCUGCACUGACGCUGAGGCGCGAAAGCCAGGGGAGCAAACGGG
rnacentral:rRNA from 1 species